rnacentral:rRNA from 1 species
GUGGGGAAUAUUGGACAAUGGGGGCAACCCUGAUCCAGCCAUGCCGCGUGUGUGAAGAAGGCCUUUUGGUUGUAAAGCACUUUAAGCGAGGAGGAGGCUUACCUGGUUAAUACCCGGGAUAAGUGGACGUUACUCGCAGAAUAAGCACCGGCUAACUCUGUGCCAGCAGCCGCGGUAAUACAGAGGGUGCAAGCGUUAAUCGGAUUUACUGGGCGUAAAGCGCGCGUAGGUGGCUAAUUAAGUCAAAUGUGAAAUCCCCGAGCUUAACUUGGGAAUUGCAUUCGAUACUGGUUAGCUAGAGUAUGGGAGAGGAUGGUAGAAUUCCAGGUGUAGCGGUGAAAUGCGUAGAGAUCUGGAGGAAUACCGAUGGCGAAGGCAGCCAUCUGGCCUAAUACUGACACUGAGGUGCGAAAGCAUGGGGAGCAAACAGGAUUAGAUACCCCGGUAGUCC